rnacentral:rRNA from 1 species
CAGUCGCCGCGGUAAUACGAAGGGGGCUAGCGUUGUUCGGAAUUACUGGGCGUAAAGCGCACGUAGGCGGACUUUUAAGUCAGGGGUGAAAUCCCGGGGCUCAACCUCGGAACUGCCUUUGAUACUGGAAGUCUUGAGUGUGGAAGAGGUAAGUGGAAUUGCGAGUGUAGAGGUGUAAUUCGUAGAUAUUCGCAGGAACACCAGUGGCGAAGGCGGCUUACUGGUCCACAACUGACGCUGAGGUGCGAAAGCGUGGGGAGCAAACAGGAUUAGAUACCCCCGUAGUCCCUGUCUCUUAUAC